AGCUACAGAACAUGUGGACACAUGAGAGUGGACAGUGCAUCAACUGCCUCAUCUUCGAAACUUUAAUUUAAGCUGUUUUUCUCCUAUUCCUUCAGAUAAAAAUGUCACAGGCAUUCACACCAUAUAAAAUUAUAAUGAAAGCAUACAAUAAUAAUAAUUCACAAUAUGUAAAGCUCUUCUUUUUAUUCUGAUAUUAUGCAUCUGCUGGAAUUGAUUCAUAAGAAUAGCAUGCAACAGCAGCCGGUGGCUUUUUCAUCUCAGAAUUCUGUAAGACAUUUGGAUACUGAAAAUUCCUCUCCUCAUGUGGGAUGAGUCAGGCAGAUGCAGUAAGGUGCAAUAUGGAAUACCAAAAUUUUAAGCAAUUUGGAAGAGAAAGAAGGGUCAUGGAGAGAAGUUGUGGAGCCAAAGUUGGAAAGCUCAAGCUAAAUGGUGGGAAUGUUCUCCUAUCAAAACCAACAGAAAUGGAAAAUAAUCCCAUUCAGAGCAAUUCAGAAGAUUAAGUAUUUUCAAUAGUUCUUGUUUUUCCACUAUAUAAAGUUGUAGCAUUUCCCUGUGAAGGAAAAGAUAUGUUGUGGUUAGCAUUUAGCAUGAUUUCUCCCUGAAAGUCUGAAAAAAUAUCUGUCAUUCUGUCAGUCUCUCCAUUAACUGCAUGAACAAAUACAAUGAGGAGGUGUCAUUGCUUUCAAGAGCCCACCUCUGGUUAUAUUUAGGUUUAUUCUUUUCCAGACCUUUUGUUUUUAACAGCAGCAAAAAGGUGGCUGAAAUCCCGUCUGAUUUACAACUCAGUAAAUUUCUGUGUGUUCAAUCCAAUUAAAACUGGAAGGAAUGUUGCCAGUAUGUCAACAAAACUGCAACAAAGAGAUGGGAGGGUUAGUUUACAGAAAUUCCUGAAUUCCUUUGUCUUGACCAAAUGAAAGAAAAUUGUUCGGGUAAGACAAGUGCAUACUAAAAGGAUUAACUCUGAUAAACUGACUUUUAUGUUCAGAUGAAAGCUAGUCUGACUAUUUGGAGAAGUUUUCAAUCAUUUUUUUUAAAAGCAGCUUUGGAUUUAACUAGAGGUGAGUCUUCUGUUUAAAAGCUGAGGGGGUUUUCAGUGCCGUAAAAGACAUAGCCUGGGCCUCUUAAACGUGUGGAGUACACUGGAGAUGUGGCUGUAAAAUACAUCUGUGCGAGGCUACAUGCUGCUGUGGAAAGGGACCAUUCUGCUCCAGCUCACUCCUCCACUCUGGCUGUUUGCUCUUACCAGUACUGGUGCUCUUCUCUGCAAUGAGCUAAUAGA